CACGUAGGGCGCGAGCGUUGUCCGGAAUUAUUGGGCGUAAAGAGCUCGUAGGCGGCCUGUUGCGUCCGCUGUGAAAGCCCGGGGCUUAACCCCGGGUCGGCAGCGGAUACGGGCAGGCUAGAGGUAGGUAGGGGAGAAUGGAAUUCCCGGUGUAGCGGUGAAAUGCGCAGAUAUCGGGAGGAACACCGGUGGCGAAGGCGGUUCUCUGGGCCUUACCUGACGCUGAGGAGCGAAAGCGUGGGGAGCGAACAGG
rnacentral:rRNA from 1 species